rnacentral:misc_RNA from 1 species
AGGUGCACUCCAUUGCAGAAAAAUAAUUGAGGAGGUUGGUCCAUGGCCACUCUCUGUUUCAUUUCCCCCAUCUCACUUAGGCUCAGGUUUUUCCUUUGUGCCUACUUUCUUUCUUUAUGCCUUUUCUUUUCAUUCAACAGAGGCUAUGCCUCAUUCGAAGGAAGGAAACUUGCAGAGAGCCAGCUUCCUCACCAUAGCCAUACAAUUCAAGUCAGCUCUCUACUCCCAUCUGAUUCUUGCAAACCUUCCACUACAAAAGUGGUGGAGAAGAAGGCAUUAUUGGAAGUAGUCCACAGGCAUGGUCCAUGCUCGCAACUAAAAGCUGGAAAAGCUCCAAGUCACACGGAGAUCCUCCUCCAAGAUGAAUCCAGAGUCAAAUCGAUUCACUCGAAGUUGUCUGGUGCCAGCAAUGUGAAGGUGACAGAUGCAGCUACCCUUCCGGCCAAGGACGGCAGGAGCAUUGGUUCAGGCAAUUAUAUCGUGACUGUGGGACUUGGCACCCCUAAAAAGGACCUUUCCCUCAUCUUUGACACUGGAAGCGACCUCACCUGGACACAAUGUGAACCCUGUGUCAGGUCUUGCUAUAAGCAAAAAGACCCAACUUUCGAUCCCUCUCAGUCAACAUCAUACACCAACAUUUCCUGUGGCUCCUCGCUCUGUAAUUCACUCGCUUCUGCAACAGGCAACACUCUUAACUGUGAUUCCUCAACAUGUGUAUAUGGCAUUCAAUAUGGAGACUCUUCUUUCUCCGUCGGCUUCUUUGGUAAAGAAAGGCUCACUUUAACCCCAACUGAAGCUUUCGACAACUUCUAUUUCGGCUGCGGCCAAAAUAACCAGGGUCUCUUCGGGGGCUCUGCCGGCCUACUUGGUCUGGGCCGCGACCCAUUAUCAUUGGUCUCACAAACCUCACGAAAAUACAACAAGCUCUUCUCCUACUGUCUCCCAUCCUCCUCCAGCUCAACUGGCUUCCUCACUUUUGGCGGCUAUUCCUCUAAAUCCGCUAAAUUCACACCGUUAUCCACAACAUCUGCCGGCUCCUCCUUCUAUGGCCUCGACUUCACUGGAAUCAGCGUCGGAGGCAGCAAAUUGUCAAUUUCCCAGUCAGUCUUUUCAACCGCCGGUGGAAUCAUCGACUCAGGCACUGUCAUCACCCGGUUGCCACCUGCGGCAUACUCUGCUUUAAGGUCUGCCUUCAGGCAAUUGAUGACCAGGUAUCCGACAGCGCCUGCAGUAUCAAUACUUGACACUUGCUACGAUUUUACCAACUAUAAUACGAUCAGCAUACCAAAGAUUGGCUUUUUCUUUAAUGGUGGAGUUGAGUUGGAUAUUGAUGCUACCGGAAUUCUAUAUGCUAAUAAGGUGUCUCAAGUGUGCUUGGCCUUCGCCGGAAAUAGUGACCCAACGAACGUGGCCAUUUUAGGUAACGUGCAGCAAAAGACUCUAGAGGUUGUCUACGAUGGAGCUGCUGGAAAAGUUGGUUUUGCUGCUGGUGGUUGUAGUUGAUUUAUCCAAUAUUGCAUUCAGGUUAGAUGGAAAAAUGGUAAACACAGUUAUAAUAUUAAAAUCCUUACAGAACUGUGAAGUAUCGAGUUAAUCGAAUUUAACACAGCAUGAUGAAAGAAGGGGAAUGUGGGUGCAUUGGAUUAUGAUUAUUGAUUAAUGAAUAAUGGGAGAUUGAUUUGUGACCUAAAAGCUAGGGAUCAAAUCAUGCUUAUAACAGUGUGCAUUAAGGUAAAGGGAAGUUUGGAAUUUGUGUAUACUAAUAGCUUGUGCAAAUGUUAUGUUUUUAUCCAGCAAUUUUUAGCAUUUUUCUCUAUUUUUAGUGGAAUUUUAAAUUUAAUUACUUAGAUGCUUUACAUACAUAUCCACACUAAUAUU